rnacentral:rRNA from 1 species
GGAAACUGAGUCUAAUACCGGAUAGGACCAUGCUUUAGUGUGUGUGGUGGAAAGUUUUUUCGGUGUAUGAUGACGCCCGCGGCCUAUCAGCUUGUUGGUGGGGUAAUGGCCUACCAAGGCGGCGACGGGUAGCCGGACUGAGAGGUUGGUCGGCCACAUUGGGACUGAGAUACGGCCCAG